UAGCCUAGUGGUUUGGGCUAUGGAUUGCCAAUCCGGAGACGGCGGGUUCGAUUCCCGU
rnacentral:tRNA from 1 species